CUGCUUUUUAAAAGUAGUGCAUAAAUUCAAAAAAGCUAUAGUCUGAUGUAAAGUCGAGCAUUAAGUUUCUCUAGUAACAUUAGCUUGCCUUUUUUAAAGCUAUGUUAAUUGAAUCCAUAGUGUGUGCAGAUGGAUACAGCUCUAUGGAGGCCAUUAUAGCUGUGCCAGUUUAUAUUAGCUGAGGAUGAGCAUUUAAAGAGUUUAAAGUGCUGUAGGGAGUUGGAUUCAAUAGUCAAAUGAACAAAAUGGUGACUGUCAAGGUUACAGAGUGAUUGAUGGUUUAAAUAUUCUUUGGUUUCACUUGAGCAUGCUUCUUAGAUGACUUUCAUUCCUCUGAGUGGAAUGAUGUGGUCUUAUAUUGCUGCCUGUUAUUACAGUUCUCCCUUUUGGACCCAUUUGCUUUUGGUACUAGCAGAAAUUUUCUUCUGACGUUGCAGCCAGUACAGAUUAAAUUUACUUGAAACUACUUUAAAUAAAGUUUCUUCAGUUAGAGGUAUUUAAUAGAAAAGUUAUUUAAAAUGAUAAAAUUCUCUGUAAAGCUAGUCUGACGCAAAUAUUACCCAUGCUUUGCAAAUGUUGGAUAACUCCAGUUAAAUCUUGUUACCUCUGUGUUUGUUUGGAAGAGGCUCCCACCUGCACCAUUAUCUGCCCUCUCUUUUAGUAACCUACCUGAACAGCUAUUGUCCAUUCACUAUACCUCCUUUCCUCUUUAGGUAUGGCAGCUUGACUGCUUGUCCCUUUUUAUGCAAGCUCUGCCCUUUGCAGAAUACACUACAGAAAGUAGUGUUUCCAGUUAAUAGCCUAGUGUCAUUAACACCAUUGAAAUUUUUAAUCAUAACUAUCUUGCCUUUGUGUUUUGGUUUAUUUCUUGUUUUGCUAUUUCUAUCAACCACUUUCUUCUUGAUAGUAUUCUAAAUGUGGAACAUUAAAUCUUGGAAAGGGACUUAAUCACAGGAAUCAAUACACAUACAUUUCUCAUUUUUUCAUGUUGGCCAUAGUUCAGGGAUAAUGGAAUUGUGUAGCACUUAUGGUUGAGACUUAGGAAUAAGAUCUGCUGUGUUUUCAAGUGUGUGCUUUGCUGAUACAUGUAAAGGAGAAGAUUAGAUUCACUAGGAGGAAACAUUUUACCAUAUGAGAAUAAAAUAAUUAUCUGCUUGAUCAGUUUUCUGUUCAAAAGUAGUCAGUGCCUACAAGGAGGAGGUGGGAUUCUGGUACAUAGUCUAUAAUUACGAGGCAAGCUGGAUUUUUCAUGUAAUAAUUUACUGAAAAAAAAAUGCUUCUUUCCAAUUAAAUGAGGCAGAAUAUGGCUUGAAACCAAGGCAGUAGAGAUUUUGAACGCGAAUGUGUUUAAUCGGGAAAGUUCUAGGUAAGUCUGGUGUGAAACUUUAUUUCCUUUGAAUAUUGCAAGCUGAAGCUAAAAAUAGGAAAGCCUUAGUGCAGGUUGCACAAGAGUAACUGAUAGACUUGUUUUUCCCUGUCUUUCCAAGUUUAAGGUUGUCCUAACUUUGGCCUGAAAUACUGGUGAUGUGAUGUCGUCUUUAUUAAGAUAUGCAGUAUUUUUUUAUGAAUAGACACUGAUGAUAUGACUUUGCUUUUGUAUAUAGCAGAUGUGACAUAUUUAGUGGAAAAGACUAGUAAUGUUCCUCAAGCAUGAAAUUUGAAUGAAAUCUGAAAAACUAAUUUAUUUCUGCAGAAGAGACAAGUGAUACUCUUCAAAAUGAAGAAAUCUGUCACAAAGAAGAUGACCAGAAUCCAGUAUCUACUGAUAAUGUGAAAAUAGAAAUUAUAGAUGAUGAAGAAAGUGAUAUGAUAAGCAAUUCUGAAGUGGAUCAAAUGAGUUCUCUCUUGGAUUAUAAGAAUGAAGAAGUCAGAUUCAUUGAAAAUGAGUUGGAAAAUCACAAACAGAAGUAUUUUGAACUACAAACAUUUACUCGCAGUUUGAUACUUGCUAUUAAAUCAGAUGAUAAAGAACAGCAGCAGGCACUGCUGUCAGACUUACCUCCUGAAUUAGAAGAAAUGGAUUUCAAUCAUGCAUCCCCAGAGCCUGAUGAUACCUCAUUCAGUCUGUCGUCUUUAUCUGAGAAAAAUGCCUCAGACAGUUUGUGAUUGUUUUUUUUUUUUUUUAUUGACAAGAAAAAAAAGACUGCCUAACAUGUAGGUUUGAGAACAGCUUUUUGUUAUCUAAUGUUCUUCAAUCAAAAAAAAAAAAAAAAAAGGCCUAAGGUGAGGUAGACCUUGCUGAAGGAUGACCAUAGUAUGUAAUAGCUGCAGUUUGCAAUGACAAAAAUUUGAAAUGUUGUUUUUGGUAAAUGAAAGAACUGUGUGAGGCAAGGUUUCAUUUUUUUUGUAGAAUAACUUCUGACUUUCCAGAAUAACUCUUGCUCUGUAGCAAAGUCUCUUUGAGCAGGGGUCCAAGAGUGGAAAACACAUGUCCUGUUACACACCCAAAUAAUUUUUUCUGAGUUGCUUGCUAUAUGAAACUCACUAGUCCUGUUUAUUGUAGAUUCCCCAUCCCCAAUUCUUACUCAGGUAGGUGGACUAAAAAUUGGGAAUCCAUAUACAAGAAUGGGCUUUUUAUGAAUUGUCCUUGAACCUCUUUGGAAAUCUGAAAUUAAACUAAAGUGCUUUUCAUUAUGUGAUUGCAAAUUGUUGAAUCUUCUGUUUUCUGACCAAAAUAACUGACAAAAACUUUGAAAGGCUAACCAAAUAAUUUGAAUUAUCAUCAAUAAAUUAUUAAUAUACAGAGGCAGUCAUUAAAUUUUGUAACAAAUUAGAUUCAUACUGUAAACUCGAUAGCUACAGAAUGUGACUUUCUGAUAUUCUCACCAUAGCAAUGGGAUUACAUAUGUUUACACUACUAUUUAAAGUUUUAUGAAUGUAGUUACAGGUUUUAUUUGUCAAAGUCUGGAUACUAAAGUUCUGUUCACUAAGUUUUAAGUAUGAGUUACAUAUUUUUCCAUAAAAUUCUCUCCAGUUUUAUCAAGACAGUGUCAUAAAGCCACAGCUGUCAUCGUGUCCCAAAAGGUUUUUGAGUGUUUCAGAUUGAGCUUUGCAAAAUCUUCUAAAAGUGACCUAUUUUAGAAGUAGCCCAUCUGACAAAUUUUUUUUGGCCAAAACCAUAAUACACUUGUCAUUUCUGAACUGUGAGCUUAAUUGCAGGCAGUGGCUGAAAUGAAUUUACUUUUUCCCAGCAGUUGUUCACAUUGAAUCCCCUUACUCAUCCGAAUAAACAGAUGUGCAGACACAUUCACAUAAACUUAGUAGGGCAUGUAGGUGCAUGCCUGUAUUAUUAAUGCUUUAUAACUUCUAAUCUGAAUAUUCCUGCACAAGCAUUUUUGAAACAGAUACUCUUGGAAUCUUGUAUUAAGCCUGAUCUUUCGGUUUUACACCAAGUAGUAAUUUAUUCUGAAUCUUUAUUCAUGUAGUACAGUAAGUAAUCCCAUUAAUUUCAGUGGGACUGUUCCGACUCUGGUUCUAUCUGAACAAAAAAGCAUCCUAAUUAAAAAAGAAAAAAUAGUGGAAGUCCAAGGCGUAGCUGAGAAAAUUGAGUCUGUUGAAGGCAGGGGCAGGGGCGACAAAAAAAAAAAAGUUUAAUAGUGGUCUAGUGAUCACAGAUGAUUUUAUUUCACUCAUUCUGUUCUGUUCCUCCCUAAUCGCUUAUGCAGGUUUUUUCUUUUUAUUAUUUACAGUGAGCUUUGUUCUUUUAAGCUUUUUUUUAGCUGUUUCUGUGUUGUCAUUGGGCAUAGGGAGCUUUUAACAAUAUUGUUAAAUGCCAGCUGCACAAAGGAUAGUAAUUUUGAAAGCUGUAUAAAAAAUUUUUUUCACAGUUCUGAUUACUGCGCAAUUCAGUUAAUUCAUAGUCCACAAAAAGUCUUCCCAUGUAUUCUACAGAAUAACCCUACAGAAAGCAAGCUGUUGGGGCUGUGUUACAAGGCUAGGCAUUAAAAUGCAAAAUAGAAUCUGAAGAGAUAGUAAAGGCACUCAGUGGUUACACAGCGUAAGCGGUAGGUUCCUCAUCCCUCAGUACCUUAAUUGAAAUGUCACAUUCUGACUGGCAGACACAUCCUUAUAUCCUUGUUCAGAGGGGGAGCAGUAUUUUACUUCUGCUGAAAUGACCACCUAUCUAAAAUUACUUAAGGUUUGUGAGCAAAGAUCACAGUACUAUCCCUCAAAUGUAAACUAGAGCUCAACUGCAGUUCUGUACCAUCUCUGAAAAAAUAAUUUAUAAAGGGUUUUCUAUACUGGGUUAACAAGGCUUUCUAUUACUGUUCUCUCAAGAUAGGAAAUCUGUGCCACUGACAAUGAAGUCUCUUGUUUUCUGUGAGCUUUGCUGAAAUUAAAAAAAAAAAAAAAACAAAAAAACAAAAACAAAAAACUGUGAUUUGCCGCUAUUUGGAUCCUAUUUUCCUGCUGCUUCCACUUAAAUUUCUGUGACAAAAGGCAGGAUACUCUUAAUGAGAGUUCUUGAUUUCAUGGUCAAGUUAGGUUACUGCAGUUCUUACCUUUUUACAAGACAAUUGUCAUUGUUGAUAAUAAUCUGGUUUUUGUUCUGUCUUGCUUUUAUUUCAUAUACCAAACAAAUUGAGUGGAUUCAUUUUGAAUGAACUGUCAUGAGAUUUAAACAAUUAUAUAGGAGUCUCUUUGCUCAAGGAAGCUGGAAUCCUCUAUGAAUUGCAGCUUGAGCGUGUUGUUCUUUGGUCCUUUUCUCAUAGCAGGAUUACAAGACAAAACAGAGUAAAGUAGUCAUGUUGGCAUACCCUGAAACAUUUGGCAAUAUUACAGAAUAUUCAGGAAGAAAGAGUAUAAAUUAUACUCCUGUAUAACAGAAUGCUAUAUUGGAUACUAAUAUAUGGUUGUUGUGUGGGGUUUUUUUCUUAAUUUUAGAAUAUACUUCCUGUCAUGGGUAAAACAAAAAAACUUGAUGAUUCAUUACCAUUGCUGGCUAUUUAAAAUGUUGCAGCAACAAUAGUUUUGCAGUUCAGUGGCUGAAAAGCAGCACACUUGCUUAUAGAUUCUUUAUCAUAACAGCAGUUAACCAUCCCAAAGUUGUGAAAAUACAUAUCUAAAUGUUGCACUUCAGACUAGCACCACACACAUAGCUCAUGGCUUUGUAAUUUAAGGCUUUUUUGGUUUGUUUGUUUCCCUUACAGAUAACUAAAUGUGCUAGUCAGGUUUGCAGGUUACAUCCAAAUCCAUGUAACUUGCAUCGGUUCAAACUGGACCUUAGGACUAUAUGAGAGCACUUGGUCUUGUUGCCGUCCGUAUUUCUUUAAAGCUUUGUCACAGUAACUGUACUGACACCCACCAAAUUCUAAGAAGGGAUACUAAUUUCCAGAUGAAAUUCUGAAAGUUCUCUAGAUGAUGGAAGGUGAUAGUCAUGGUUGUCUUGGUAUUUGACAUAUUUAGGGUUUUGGUCUGUGGUUAUUUCAUCUGUUCAUAGGAGGAUUAAAAAAAAAAAGCACACAUCAAAUGCUAAUUCAUCAUUUGCAUAGACUUCCCAUGACAGACAAGGUUAAUACUGUACUGUGUUACCAUGAAAGAAAUAAGGCCCCCUGAUAUUUCACUGUUUUGGAUUAGUAAUUUGAAUAACUGCUACAGCAAAAGUGGCGUGUAUUGACAUUUUUAUCAUCUUUCUGCUAAGACUCUUGAUUUGCUUUGUCCAUGAAAGAUGACUUCCCAGGCCCUGUUUAUUCCUAAUUCAUGUUCCAACAGAUGCAUGAUAAAGUGUGUCUUUCUGAAGAAACCAAAGCGGAAAAAGGUAGUUCAGAACAGACACUUUAAAACAGAAACAGGAUGCGCUCUCUCCUGUAGGAGCAGUGAAGCUCUUUGAUGCUAGCAAGCUUGCUGAUACUUAAGAAAGCAGUUUCCUGAAGCUAUGCCUCUUUUCAUUUCCCUGCAGAUGAUACUUCUGUCAAGCCUGUAGGUCUAACAGAAGUGAGUAAUAGUAAAUAUUCUAAUAGGCAAAUUUUUGGAAGAUUUGAUUUUUAGAAGUAUGUGAAGAACAGAUGUGCUAUACAAGUGUCAGUUUUCUUGAGUACUUGGUUCUCAGAGCAGCACUGCACUUUAAUCUUUCCAAGCAUACAUUUUUCACAAGCAGAUUAUGGGCUUUGCAAUCCUCUGAGUUAAAAAAAAAAAAAAAAAAAAAAUUGGCUUAUAUUUUUAUCUUCUUAAUUUGGUAAGCAGCUCAUCAAGUCUAUUCACCAAGUAGAGACGGUAAUAUCUACUGUUGUGGUUAUAGAGUUGGAAUGAAUGGCAGAACAAAUCAACAGUAUCAUGAACAUCUUUGUUGUGGAAAUCACUACUUAAAAUUGAUCAGCUCUCUAAUUUUGGAUCUGUGUUACACUACCAUAUUAAUAACAUUAAAAAGAAAAAAUUGGACAGCACUAACUUUUCUAUAGGUAUUAGUCAUAGCUGACUGUUGGUCUCAGGAUACUGAUAAAGUAAGGAAACAAAAUAAUAUGUGAAAAUGAAAUACUAAACAGAAUACCUGAAACACAAAGAAGUAAUGACUUGUAAUGUUGCAACCAAAAGUUCAGUUUACUACCUCCAGUCAUACUGUCCAGAUCCUUCAGGUCAGCCAGUGAAGUAAGAGGCUGCUUUACAUGUUAAUAAGGACUGGCAGCUCUCCAGUAUUCAUUUCACAACUGUGCUUUUUCUGCACAAAUCUUAGUAACAGUUAAUAAGCUGAUCGGUUGUGGGUUGCCUGAUCAAAAUAGACAAUGGUUUGUGAGAAAACUAGUUAUUAGAGAGAAAAAAAUAAAGAAGCUGUUUUAUGAUGUUUGACUUGUCUGCCCAAUUCGUAUUUCAGUACAUUGGUCAAAUGUUAAAUCUUAAGUUAUGAGCGAAAAAAAAAAGGCACUUUCCAUGGCGGAAUAGGGCUUUAUUCUAACUAAAAAGUAUUUUUCUGUGUAAGCCAGUAGCUGGCAUUUUGCUCAGAAGACAACAGACACAAAAGAAGAAACUUUGGCAUGUGGUGAUGGUUGUUGUUUUUAAACAAAUAAGCCAUCAACUUCAAGAAAGAAAUUCUUAAGAAUGUUCCUGUAAAGCAAAUGGUUUCAGGUCAUUGCUUUGGCUGUAGCGAGCAUUAUACUGUAUUACCAAACUAAGUAAAUAAUUCUUUUCCAAUUCUGUAUUAAACUUUACACACACUACCUCUGAAACGUAACACCACCUUUAAAACCACACAAAAAUGUGAACUUUAAAAAUUUUUAAACUUUUUAUAGGCAAUAAAUUAUUUCCAAUACACAUUCUUCAAUUUUGUGCUUAUUUUUUAGUUAAGAUUGUGAUAAAUUCAGUUUUUUUAUUUUAGUACUAUUUUAUGUAUUGUCUUAAACACAAACAAUUGACAAGGAAAUAAUAAACAUAUGGAUAUUGGGGAGAAAAGAGUAGCAUAUGUUAAGGAUAAUAAAUAUUACUAUGACUAGGCUCAAUGAUGAAGUGGUAGUAAAUGGGCUCGCUGUAGUAUUUUGGUAUAAUGGAUAUCAGAAAUACUCUGGUACUCAAGGAUUGUCAUAACAUUUCUCAGUAUAACACAUUAAUUUCUAUGAGAGAGAACAGUCAAAUAAUGAGUCUCAGCAAGGUGACAAAAAGGGAUAGGAUUUUGCAUUUUCCAAGAGUUAAUGUGUUUUAUAAAUUGGUCCUCAUUUUUAUUUCAGCUUUUGCUUUAUCUUUUUGUUUUUGCAUAAUAUGUGUAGAGACUUCAUAGGAACAAUCUUGAUUUGCUGCUAAGGAAGCAUUAAAUUAAAAUGAAUCAAUAGCAAACUAAGGUUUAAAUGAAAAUAGACCAUUUUUUGUAGUAAAGUUCAUGUCAAAGAGGAAGAAGUGUUGGGAGGGUCUGUAGGCUGUACAGACCUGUUCAAGCAGAUGGGGGGAGGGACCUAGGUACAAACAGGUGUUUUAGUUGAAAACUAAUGAAGAUUUGGGGGCGGAGGGGAUAUUCAAAAAUGUGAAAGUAAAAUGAAAAAUUUAUUCACCUUAGAAGACAACAAAUUCUAUUUUAUUUUCAGAUUCUGUGAAGUAAAGCUUAUAAAAUCAUGGCAAAUCCACUGAACUGUUUUGGGGAUAAAUUGUACUCUCUAAUAGAAAUCAUAUAACUUCUAUGAUCAUUUCUAAGAAUUACUGAGAAUGUAUGAACAUCCAUAUGCAUAUUUAUAAUGUGCACAGAUAAACUGAACUCAAUCAUCAUUUUAGCAUCCACAGAAGUAUUUUCAUUUAAAAUCUUAAUGUAAUUCUUCUAAAAUAGAUUUUCUCAUAUUUUUGUAAGUCUUAGUAUUUGAUUACAUAGUUUUGAAAUUAAAUACAUCAAUAUAAAUAUUGAUUGUAGAAUAACUCUUUGCAAAACUGGUAAGUUUUCGGCUUAAAUGUCCAUAAUAAUGUUAUUUCUAAGUAAUCUUGGCAUAUAAACUGCUUUAUUUAUGAAGAGAUAAUGAAUCUUAAGUCAUGAUAAUUUCCAUUUUAGUUACACUAAGGGCAUCAGUUUCAUUAAAAAAUGAUUUUCUGGAAGUUUAAACAUUAUUUUAUAAAUUGGAUGUUUUCAUUAACCUACAAAGCAUAAGAUAAUAAUCUGUCUUAAAAGUAGUAUGAUUUCUUUCUGGGCCAAUUUGGUAAGCUUUGUAACCUGAGUGUAUUACUGAAUUUCUCUGUGAAAAUCAAUAUUUAUAUUGUAUUUUUAUUACUUGUAUCAGUAUGUGUGGCAAGGAAACUACUAUAAAUCUUGAACUGAAGUACCUCCAGUAUAGUCCAGGACAUACAAUCUUGGCUUAUUUGAAAGAUGGAUGCCUCGUGAAAUAUUCCAUAAAUUUGUAUUGAUUUUUGUCUGUAUAUAUAAGGGUAUUUAUAAUCUUGUAUUAACAGAGUCAUCAUGAACAAUGCUUAUUUCCUUCUUUAGAAGCCUGCCCAGCUAUUUUUAUAAAAAAUGUUGGUCUUCGCCUUAAUUUUUUGUGAAAAUUUGUGCCAUAGAUAAUACGUUAUCUACAGAUAGUUUACAAAAUUUGUUUUGACUUGCCUUUAGUUAAUUAUUUUCCCUAAAAUUAUUGUAAAUUUUUUCCCCUCUACAUGUGUGUCAAGGUUGUUCUGUUUUCUUAAAUGUUUUUUAUUUUUAUUUUAAAGUUUUGGAAGAUAUCUUCAUAUGCAUGCUUUGGUGGUUCAAGAUUUUUCUCUGUAGCUUAUUGUUUAUAGUUUGGCAAAACCUUUCAUUAAAAAAAUUGAGGUAAUGCUUGUACAAAUGUAUCUAGAAUGGCCCAAAUGGUCAGAGUAAAGGGCUAUUUAGCAUUGGUAAAUUUGUCUACUAGACUUCCAGAAUAUUUUUCUACGUCUGUCAAGCUUGGGACUAUGGAGAAAUUAAAUAAAGGUUAACUAACUCCUUUUCCUACA